rnacentral:rRNA from 1 species
ACCGAAAGGUAUGCUAAUACGAGAUAAUAUGCUUUUAUCGCAUGGUAGAAGUAUCAAAGCUUUUGCGGUACAGGAUGGACCCGCGUCUGAUUAGCUAGUUGGUGAGGUAACGGCUCACCAAGGCGACGAUCAGUAGCCGACCUGAGAGGGUGAUCGGCCACAUUGGAACUGAGACACGGUCCAAACUCCUAUGGGAGGCAGCAGUGGGGAAUAUUGCACAGAGGGGCGAAAGCCUGAUGCAGCAACGCCGCGUGA